GGCGCUAUCCAGGGGAUGAGGGGCAGGCGACUCGUCCUCAGGGACCACUCCCCCCCAGGAGCCCGGUGGUGGUCGGGGGGCUGUGCCACCCCCACUGGAGCCAUUACCCUUUUGAACUAUCUGUUGGGGGUGGGGGGCAGAUCAGAGGGUUAAAACAGGAAGAAGGAGCUGAAUUACCCCCAGGCUCCCGGGAAACCCACGAGAAUCAGACGGGAGGAACUGCCACGAAGAUCACCGAGCACAUGGCUGGGAAACAGAACUAAAACAUGAAAACGGAUCGUCUUAUUACAGAUGGUCACGAAUGAGAAGCCAGCGUGGGAGAAGGAAGCCCAGGUGAUGGUCGGCCCAGACAAGGGGGUCAGCUCCGGAGUGGACUCUGAGAAGGACCCCACACCUGCGGAGGGGCCUCUCGCAGCCCUCCUGAGGACACGCGGUCACAGGCAAACGCAGAAACACCCGCGCGGCCCUGGAUGCCGAGGCAGAACCCAGGACGCCAGCCUGCAGCCUGAGCGAGUCUUCGGAGUUUCCGGGCCCAGCGCCGCCUGGAACGGCGCCCGCGGGUGGACUAGAGAGAUGCUCAGCUGCGGGCAGAGAGGACCAAGGCCGUGCCGCCGUCUGCAGAGGGCACGGGCAUGCCAGGUCCCCGGAGGAGCUGCAGCCUCACUGUGCAUCGCAGGCUCAUUCCCUCAGUGAGUCUAUGAAACCCAAAUAGACACCACGAUAAAGAGAAUAAAUUUAUUUUCUACACAAGCGCUGUUUGUCUUCCACAUGCUGCUAACAUCUGUUUGAUACUUAUUCAAUAUCCAGUAAAACUAGUGAUUAAUCUAGGUUUUCUUUAAAAAACUAGACACAUGGCAAUGAUCCCAUUUUGUUCCCAGGGAAGACGGAGGACACAGCGUGGCUCUGCUGGCCUGUCCCCUUGUCCUCCGCCGGCAGUGACGCGGCUGCAGGCUCACAGCACAAGCGUGCUCUGGCCCCAGACACCACCCGGCAGAUCAGCGGCCUCUCCCAGUGCCCGCCUGCUUCCUUGGCACGCCCUGCUCGCCCAGGCGGGCACCCCAGACGCCUGCCCAACCCCAGCCCAGAGUGCUGCAUCCAGUGGUCCCGGAAGACCCCCACGCCAGGAAUGGCCGCUGACCGGCUGAAGACCACGGCCACUUUCCAGGCUGGGAACUUGGAGCAACAAAGCAAAGCCCUCUCCAGUCUCCUUCCUGGAGGGUCUCAGAAGACGCCCCCGCUUGUCAUCUCAAAGGGGCUCAGAGCCCCAGGUCUGGCCCCUGGCACUUCUGGAGUAGGCUGGGGAUCCUGCCAACAGCCAGGCGGUCGGGCCGGCCCCCGCAGUGGGGGAGCAGGCUGCCCCGAAGUGCGCUCGGGCCUGGAGGCCAAGGGCACAGCCACCAGCAUAAGGCUGGCCUCCCCAUAGCCCAGACAUGGUGACGUCCCUCCCGAGCCCACGCUGCAGCCCGAAACCCCUCCCUCCACAGAGACCGCCUCGCCCUCAGCAGCUCAGGGGCACAGCAGCUGCUCUCAGCCCCAGCUGUUCACUGCCCUGGACCACCGACGACUCCCUCAGGACUUCUGACUUAGCAGACGGGUUAGGCCGGCUCCUGGCCCAGGUACAGCCAAAGACUCGCCCCCUCACCCCAGGGAGAGACGCCAGGAGGGUCCUUGCAGCCCCUCCCCGUUCCAUCAACAAGGGUUAAUUAAAACGCAUGUGGUUCCGAGAAGUGACUGGAAGGGGGGCUGUGGUCUAUUAACUUAUCGUCUCCACUUCCACUGGGCGCGGGGUUCACACAUCUGCAGAUCAUCAGAGCGGAGAUUUCUGGCAAAGGAUGGCUUUGGUCCCCUGCAAGACGGUGUUUCCCAGGUGAACGCCCUAAACGGAGUGGUUAAAAGUGAAAAGCAUAAAUACCCACCCACCAAACGGAGUAAAAAUGGAAAUGUCUCCUGCUUGCGGAGGUGAGCCCGGAGCUUUGCAUCCGUUAACCUUCCCUGGGGGGCCUCUCGUCCCUUGCGAUGAUGGGCGGCCACCGAGACGGCGGACGGCCUGACCUUUAUUCAGCUAAAAGCAUGGGGCCCUGGGUGUUAAGUGGAUGUCACUCCGGGAUGGAAUUGAUCCUAGAAUGAGAAGCUCUGGAGCUGUCUUAGAUAAUGUGAUGGCAAAUGGACUCGGUGUGCUUGGCUCGGGCAAAUUAAACAAAACCCAAUGCAAAUAGUCCUUCCCCUGCUGAGCUGCUUCAGAGACAAGCAGCUCCUCUCCUCUGAAAGAAGGCCUGGUCCUCGGAGACCCAGCGGCUUUCACAGGAUUUUGGAGGGAAAUCCCUGAGCUUGCUGCACAAGGAAACUCCUGGGGGCAGUCAGGUCGACCUUAAUGUCUUCACUCUGAAGGAGUGGCUUUGAAUCUGAAAAAAUAAAUAUACGUAUAUUAAAAUAGUUAAGGAUACUUUUAAGAAGAUUCACAGGAAAGCACUUGCCCCACCAAAAUCAAACAAAGAACGGCAGGCGGUAACAUGGACACAGGCCCCUUCUCAGAGACGGCAGUCACCAACACGGGGUAAACGGCCAAAGCCACGUAAAGACACCGGGAAGCCCGCAGAGCACACGGAGGAGAGAGGCUCAAGCUCGGGGAAAGGCGUCUGGGAAGAGGAGGCGUCAGGGCCCGUCUUCCUGGACCACCACCUUCAGGGAGCACAGAAGGCAAGGCCCGGCCGGCCAGGCCGACAGGCCCGGGGUCAGUGUCCAGGCCCCCCACCCCGUCCAGCAGACUCACCACCUACAGGGAGCGCAGAAGGCAAGGCCCGGCCGGCCAGGCUGACAGGCCCGGGGUCAGUGUCCAGCAGAUUCCCCUUCUGGGCCUUGGGGCAGCCUCCAGGGCCCUGAACGAGAAAUCUUUUUAGGACAAAGCCAAGUCAAAGCCACAGUAUCAUGAUUUCUGAUAAAUUAAUGCUGUAUGCAGAAGUAAAGACAAGGGGAAAAUCAAACGUGGUUGGGGUGUAUUUAAAAUGUGUCGCAUUUAAUUCACACCUAAGUUGUGACUUGUUUCUUUUGCUUUGCUGAAAAGGUCUUCCCAUUUUUUAAGCUGUCAAAGGAAAGAGCAAGUGAAGGGAAAUUAGAAAUAAAGUAAGGACUUCCUGUGGUGGUCCAGACGUUAAGACUGCGCCCUCCCAGCGCAGGGGCCUGGGUUUGAUCCCGGUCAGGAAACCACAUGCUUAACCAGGAGUUCACGCACCACAAUGAGGACCCGGUGCAGUCAAAUAAAGUGAUUAACUGAAAUUUAAAAAAAAAGAAAAAGAAAAUAACGGAUUAGAGAGUGAUGUUGCCGUUCUUCCAAAAGGUACACAUAGAAAUGCCGCACGACCCAGUGAUUCCACUCCUCGGCUUUACCCGGGAGACAUGGGACAGCAGACGGUGGGGACAGCCCCAGGGUCCUCAGCUGAGGACACAGAGGCAGUCUGUCCAUAAAGUGCGUGGACUGACCAUCCGGCCUUAAGAAGGGAUGGAGCCUCACGCUCGCUGCAGCACCGUGAACCCUGCAGACAGUCUGCUCAGUGAAGGGUGCUGGAUGCAAAGGGCAGAUACUGUGUGAAUCCAUUUAUGGGAAAUGUCAGGACAGGCAAACCCACGGAGACAGAAAGCAGGUUUUGCUUCCAGGGGCUGGGGGAAGACAGGAGGGGCGUCAGAGCUGCACGGGUAGGGAGGAACCCUUGGAGUGAUGACGUGUUUCAGAACGCUAUAGGGGUGGUGGUCCCAAAAUACCGUGAGUGUGCCACACACCCCCGAACCGUUCACUUUAAAAUGGUCGUGUUACACGAAUCCCACUUCAGUAAAAUGAAACAAGUCGUGGAAGUUACGGAGAUGAUCCUAAGAACUGCCAGAGCUGUGUGCAAACUCAGAAGCCUCCCCAGGCCAAGGUGCAGGCAGUCCCUGACUCCAGGCAAUGGCCCGUGUCCCCCAGGCUUGAUCCCCACGAGGGUGGCAUCCUGAUGAUGGCCUCUUGCCCCUUCAGACUAACUCAGUCUGGCAGGGACACAGACGUCAGUGCUCAGCAGGCUGAGAGCAGGCGGAAUGCUGGUCCCCCUCUGCUGACGCCCUUGGCCAUUCCCCACACCCCCACCCGUUAUACGCAGAGCUCUCAUUUGAUGCCUGAUAACCCAGUACAGGUCAAGUCUCACCUGCCAUGAGUCCUUCCCACUUGCAUCAGAGAACUGGCUUAUGGUUUCAAGAGUUUGUUCGUGGUCCCAAAUUAUUUGUAUGUCUGUCUGUCUGUGGGGCCGGCGGGGCAGCCUCUCCCUCUUCUGGUCUCAGAGAAAGUCCCUUUCGGUCACAGGCGAGCCUGGGUUUGCCAUCUGAGCAGGCUCGGCCCGCAUGCCCACUUAAUC
ensembl:lncRNA